rnacentral:lncRNA from 1 species
UCUCGCUCUACCUGAUGGUGUUGUAUGGUCUGUCGGACAAGGGAACCCGGUUGCUGGCUGAUGUCAAACGCCUUCUCCCUGAGAUCAUGAUCCCCAGGUGUGUGGUGACCUUACCUGAGUACUUGGUUUUUCUGGUUCAGAACAUGUGUGCUCAAUCUAAGUGCUCAAAUGUGAGGUUGCAAGUAGAUGCUUGUUCUUUUUUUCUCCAUAGAAACUCUCGGAAUGGAUGAAUGCAUAGUAUUUCUGAGCUUUCUAAACUCUAGGAACCACUGAAAAUUUUGGCAUUGCAAGACAAAUAUAGUGUUGUGUUUAUGCAUCCUCAUUUGGCAAGAGUUCAUAUAUUACUUACUAUUUGUCUCUGUAUGACAGUACUCGCAUUAGUUGAUGCAGAAUAUGUCUAUGUUUUAUCAACGAGUUAUAAUAAGAUUUCACACUCCUGUAGACUAAAUCAACACCACUUGGUGGGAUCUGACUCUGGUGGGAUGGAACAUGGAAAGCUAUUGGCCGCUUGCAGUCUCACAAUCUGUCAGACGCACAAGUGGAGUUUUGUUUGGCAAUGCUUUUCUAUUGAGCAUAUUAAGAUUGCCAUUUGUCUAUAUUUUUUAUUAAGAAAUGACGAAUCAUUUAGUACGAAUUUGUAACUGGUUCAAGUACAUGACUGUCAAUAUACGGUGUGUUCGACAACACAUCUUCUGUCAAGUUGCUGGGAAUGUUGCCUGUGCCCCGUGGCACUGUCACAAUAUUGGAUUCAUGCAUUUGAUGCCCUCUUGGAUCCAGGUUUGAAUAAAACCAAAUGUGUUCCUUUAAAUUGCGUAGUUGCCUG